rnacentral:misc_RNA from 1 species
AAAAAAAAAAAAAAAAGAACUCCACAUAAAGAUUGUCAAUUAAUUAUUUGUCACCCCAAAUAAAAUCACAGAGGCUAGUUGUUCACAGGAAAGACGUCAUCUGAAGUACAAUUUGGGUGUGCCCAGGUACAACAUUUCAUCUAACUACGCUUUGCAUUGUCUGCUCUAAUUCUGCAAAGACUGAAGAAUUUAAUCCAAGCAGAAAACACUUCUCAAAGGAAGCACUAUAUAUUAGAACAGUAAAAACAAUAAAACAAGAACCAUGCACUAAAGCUUAUAACUCUAAUCCUACAUUAGGUCAUUUUGUUUUCAGCAAGAAUACUGAUUGCAAGAUUUGAAAUAUUUCACGGACUUAUCUAGCAUCACGCCUGGCAAAGCACUGAAAGGAGCUGAAAAAAGCUUGACAGGCAUUGCAUUAAUCACAAUAUUUGCUGCCAAAACUCAAACAGAUAACAAAAAUUAAAAGUUAAAAACUGAAGUCUUACGUGCUUAGU